UGUUGGAAACUUCAUUUUGUUAUCAUAGUAACGCGUCGUUGUUUGUUAUGAAAGUAAAAUAUUACGAAAAGCUGACGGCCUGGCGAAAAAGAUGUUCUUGAUGAUCUGCAAAGGAGUUAGGAACGGGAAUAAUCGGUAUUUUCUUCCCAGAAAGUAUUUAGGCUGUUAAGUGACUCGCUGAUAGUUGACUGAGGCGGCGUCGUUCAGAAUUAGUGUAGACAAAUUGUAUUUGCAGUCUGGGAUCACUUAUAUUUUGGGAAGAUUGUUGAACCACAACAUAGCGAUAAAUGUGACCUGGUACACUUCAACGACAUGUGGAAGGCAUAAAAGGGACUCUUCGGAACAUAAAACGGUCAAGCUUCUAUGAAACCUUCCGCUGAGAGAUUCUACACUGCUCCAAUGUGGACCAAACUUAUUUCAAGGCUUCAUUUGUUAUAUAAAUCGAUUGUUGAAUGAAAAAAAAAAUCACCUAGAAAAACUGGAAA